UACGGGGGGGGCAAGCGUUGUUCGGAAUUACUGGGCGUAAAGGGCUCGUAGGUGGCCAACUAAGUCAGACGUGAAAUCCCUCAGCUUAACUGGGGAACUGCGUCUGAUACUGGAUGGCUUGAGUUUGGGAGAGGGAUGCGGAAUUCCAGGUGUAGCGGUGAAAUGCGUAGAUAUCUGGAGGAACACCGGUGGCGAAGGCGGCAUCCUGGACCAACACUGACACUGAGGAGCGAAAGCCAGGGGAGCAAACCGGG
rnacentral:rRNA from 1 species